AAGUGACGAACGGGUGAGUAAUACAUAAGCAACCUACCCACGAAGACUGGGAUAAUCUCUGGAAACGGGGACUAAUACCGGAUAGGUAAUCGGAAGGCAUCUUCUGAUUAUUAAAGGUUAAAAACACUGGUGGAUGGGCUUAUGGCGCAUUAGUUAGUUGGUGAGGUAACGGCCCACCAAGACGAUGAUGCGUAGCCGGCCUGAGAGGGUGAACGGCCACAUUGGGACUGAGACACGGCCCAG
rnacentral:rRNA from 1 species